AAAGGCAGGCGGACAGAUGUUGGACUCGCCUCCCGGCUACGGAGGAGGAAUGUAGCUGGGAAGAACAAGCUCCUGAAGACCUGAAGGGAGGCUGUAGUCCCCAGGAACAGGCCCGCCCGCCUGCACAGCAGCGGACUCUGGCCACAGGAGGAAAGUGGGGUGAAGUGAAGGAACUGUUGUCUGGACUCUCGGGCAGAGCCUGACGCGGAGGUGGCAUGGGCCGCUCCACCCUGCUUCAGGUCCCGGCUCCUAUUCCCCUUAACGCCCAACCUCCGCACCCCACUGCAUCCGGGCCACGCGGUCCCAGCCCUCAAGCUAGAAGUGAACACAGAGCUGAGUUCUGACCUAAAGCAAAUAGGCAGAUGCCUCUCGGAAGGGUGUCGUCCCCGAAUGAAAAGACAGGACUAGGACGCCCUCUGCUAAAUCACCCUUCCCUCUUCUUCCUGCCUGGACACAAGUUUUGCAGGUGAAGAAAUUGAGACCCAGAGGGGCUAAGCAACUUGUUGCUCAGGAUCACACACCAAGAUGAUGAACCUCUGGGCAGCAUGCCGGGUCUCCUGUCCAUGGGUCUGAAAAUAGGGACAAAGAGAGAAGCACGUUUAGUCCUAGAGAGCUAAGCUGGAGGAGGCAGGAAAAGCAUGACAAGAUGCUGUCGCUGGGCCAACCAAGACAAAGCCGUUUUGUUGGGCCAAACAACUAAGACAGGAAAUACAGAUGUUACAGGAAACACAGAUGUUGGGACACUUGCUCCCCAAUUAGUGUCAGUGUUUCUCUUUAACCCAGUCCCUGCAGGUGGCAAUGCUGGCCGCCUUGGGGGGCCAACCCUUCGUAGCUCUUUGAGGGUCUUAGCAGGCCAAGUCUGCAGAGCUUGUGGUGGGGAUGGUGAAGCCCAGCUGCCACCUCUGCUUGCCCAUGUGGUUUAGAAAAAGCACCUAGAACUUGGUGUCACAGGACCCAGCUUCCAAAGCUGUCUUAGUCACAUCCUAGCUGAGUGGGCAUGGAAAAGCACCUCCCUGCUCUGGUCUUCUGGAUCCUUGACUAUAAGAAGAAACAAAAUUUCUCCCAUGCCAGGGACAUUCAGCCACACACAAAGGUGCCACAUAUCUAGCACAAGCAGACCCCAGCACAUUGGUUUCCUACCCUUUCCCUGCCGUCUGAUGACACAGAGCCAGACUCUGCCCUGGGGUGGGCUGUUCUAGCCUGAGGGGGAGAGAAAUUUAAUCUUUGAAUGAUUCAAGAGCCAUUUUUUCCUGGGCACCUGGAUGGUAUUUUCCUAGCACAUUUCUUAUUGAAAAUUGAGAUUAAGGUUUAUUCAAGCCAAUAUCAAAAUGAGUUUGCCUUUUAGAGUUCACAGCAGGGGACAGUUUAGGGAGAGGAAUGGCCAAAAAUGAAGACUUAGAAAUUAUCAAGUCAAACCAGCCAGGAAUAGACUCUGGGAAGUAGACAGGGACUGGAAGGGGACUCCAUAAGGCCUCAGAGAUCAACAGAAAGCACAGGCCAGAGAACUAGCUCCUCCCAGCCUUCUGUGAGCCUGCAGGAUGCCCAUGGCAGGGUAGAAGGAGCUGUGGGCUACCAAGGAACUCCACACUUUGCUAUCUCUCCUGCCUUGGCUUAUUCCUGUGUCUGGCAGAGUAGAGGUGUACCUGGGAGCACACACACACACACACACACACACACACACACACACACAUACACACACACACACUCACACACACACAAGCUUCUCAAACUUCAGCCAGCCUUCAAGGACCUGUCAGUGCCAGGUCCAUGGGGUCUGCUCAUUCUGCACUAGCUUUCUGAUCAUAUUUUGCUCUGUUGUUCCCUACCAAGUAUGAAGGUCUCAGGUUUGAUCAAC